GCCAUCGUGGACCAUGGCGGUCGCCUCCUGCAAGUGGGGGAUGAACCACUUUCGCUACAUGGAGGAAGUGAGGGUUCGAUUCCCUCCGAUGGCA